rnacentral:rRNA from 1 species
CCUACGGGUGGCAGCAGUGGGGAAUAUUGCACAAUGGGGGAAACCCUGAUGCAGCGACGCCGCGUGAAGGAAGAAGUAUUUCGGUAUGUAAACUUCUAUCAGCAGGGAAGAAAAUGACGGUACCUGACUACGAAGCCCCGGACAACUACGUGCCAGCAGCCGCGGGAAUACGGAGGGGGCAAGCGUUAUCCGGAUUUACUGGGUGUAAAGGGAGCGUAGGCGGGGAUGCAAGUCAGAAGUGAAAGCCCGGGGCUCAACUCCGGGACUGCUUUUGAAACUGUAUGGCUAGAUUGCAGGAGAGGCAAGUGGAAUUCCUAGUGUAGCGGUGAAAUGCGUAGAUAUUAGGAGGAACACCAGUGGCGAAGGCGGCUUGCUGGACUGUAAAUGACGCUGAGGCUCGAAAGCGUGGGGAGCAAACAGGAUUAGAUACCCGAGUAGUC